GGCGGCAUGGCCAAGUGGUAAGGCAGGAGCCUGCAAAGCUUUCAUCCCCAGUUCGAAUCUGGGUGCCGCCU
rnacentral:tRNA from 1 species